UCUUUUCUCAAGGAAGAAGUUCUGACGGUACUUGAGGAAUCAGCCUCGGCUAACUCCGUGCCAGCAGCCGCGGUAAUACGGGGGAGGCAAGCGUUAUCCGGAAUUAUUGGGCGUAAAGCGUCCGCAGGUGGUCAGCCAGUCUGCUGUCAAAUCAGGUUGCUUAACGACUAAAGGCGGUGGAAACUGGCAGACUAGAGAGCAGUAGGGUAGCAGGAUUCCCAGUGUAGCGGGAAAUGCGUAGAGAUUGGGAAGAACAUCGGUGGCGAAAGCGUGCUACUGGGCUGUAUCUGACACU
rnacentral:rRNA from 1 species